rnacentral:rRNA from 1 species
AUGGUGUACGAGAGCGCGAGGGUGCGUUGCAGCUUCGGGACAACCUCAUGGGUUCGCCUCUCCAGAGGGUACACGGAGGCCGGCCUGCUCUCGCAGGUCAUCGACGCCUUUGGGGGCGACACCAAGGGCGGCGAGAGCGUCGCCGACCUCCAGGCAAUGCUGACAGGCCUGGUGGCGAACAAGAGGUUCCUGCUCGUGGUCGACGACGUGUGGUACGGCGGGGUGUGGGAGGACGUGCUGCAGAACCCACUGGGCCGCGGCGGCAAGGUGCUGGUCACAGCGCGGCGCGGCAGCACUGCCCGCGAGAUGGGCGCCAGCCUUGUCCACCGGGUGAAGAGGCUCAGCGCCGACGACGGCUGGCUGCUGCUCCGCACGGCGGCGUGCGUGGCUGACGACGAGAGCCAGCUGGAGGGCGUCGGCGAAAGGCUCGUCGAGAAGUGCGGCGGCAUCCCUCUGGCCAUCAAGGCGGUCGCCGGCGUGCUGAGAACACGGGAGGCCAGCGCCGACGUGUGGGGCGAGGUGCUCGCGAGCCCCGCGUGGUCGGUGAAGGGGCUGCCGGACGACGCCAUGAAGGCGCUGUACCUGUGCUACGAUGACCUGCCGCACCACCUGAAGCAAUGCUUCCUGUACUGCCCGCUGUCCCCCCCGGGCUACACCGUCGAGAGGCAGGUGCUCGUGCAGCACUGGAUGGCCGAGCGCUUGGUGCAGACCAGGAGCGGCGCCUCCGUCGAGGAGGUAGCCGAGGGGUACUACGAUGAGCUCGUCGGCAGGAACCUUCUCCAGACGACGCAGGAAGACGUGCGCGGAUGCACGAUGCACGAAGCGCUGCAUGCUCUGGCGCAGCUGCUCCUGCAAGGCGAGGGCUUCACCGGCGACGGCCAGCGGCUGCCCGACGACGGCGACACCUCCUUCAGGCCACGGCGCGUCUCCCUUCCAGGAAGAAACAUGGCUACGAUACCAGAGAGCAUCCUGAAUUCGGAGAGGAUAAGAACGCUGCUGCUUCCCAGGAACCCACUGGCAACCGAAGGAAACAUCUUCACGAGGCUGCAUCAUCAGCUGCGAGUCCUCGACCUGAGUGAAACAGGAAUUGAGCUCAUCCCAGAGACUCUGGGGAAUAUGGUUCACCUGAGGCUCCUCAACCUGUCCCGGACGGGGAUACAGGCGGUUCCAGAGUCCAUCGGCAACCUGUGGAGCCUGAACUUCUUGCUGCUGAGGGAGUGCAAGUCACUGCAUGCUCUGCCCAAAGGCAUGAAGCACCUGAGGAGGCUCAGAGACCUUGACCUGGCUGGAACGACGAUCGCCGCCGCGGCGUUCAGGGUAGGCCAGCUGAGAAGCCUCACGUCGCUCCAGUGCUUCGCCGUGGCCAGCAAAGAGGACAGGGGCGGGUGGCCUCUGGCUGAGCUCAAGCACUUGUGCCAGCUGAGGAUACUCCAUGUGCACAAGCUCGAGAGGUCCCCCGGUCGGUCUGAGGCAGCUGAAGUGGCACUUGCCAGCAAGAUGAGCCUCAGGGAGCUCGCGCUGUCAUGCAGCGACGACACUGUGAGUCAGCCGCAGACACCAACGGCUGUCAGGAAGAUCGAGGAUGUGCUUGAAGAGCUCAACCCUCCACCGUGCCUCGAGUCGCUAAAGAUUGCCGGCUAUUUUGGGGCCAAGUUCCCCAGCUGGCUCUCAGACAUUUCCCUCCCAAAUCUUCGCCACCUCCACAUCAUCGGGUGCAACUUGUGCCAGUCCCUCCCUCCACUAGGCCUGAUGCCAGAGCUGAGAUCGUUGAGCAUUGUCGAUUCUUCAGCUCUCACGUCAAUCGAUGCAGAGUUCAUGGGCAAAUGCCACCACCCUGAGGUACCUUUUCCAAAGCUCGAGAACCUGCGCUUGCAAGGAUUACGUAAGCUUGAAACAUGGAUGGAUAUCGAGGCAGGAGCGUUGCCCUCUUUGCAGGCGAUGCAACUCGAGAGCUGCCCUGAGCUGCGACGCCUGCCUGGCGGCCUCAGACACGUGACAUCCCUGGUGGAGCUGCGCAUAGUGGACAUGGCGAGUCUCGAGGCUGUGGAGGACAUUAUUGCACUGAGAGAAUUGAGCGUUUGGAACGCACCUGAUCUGAAGAAGUUAUCAGACAUGCCUUCCCUUGAGGACCUUAGCAUAUCCCACUGCCCAGUGCUGCAGACUGUGGAG